ACGAUUCACUUGCACAAAUCUGGCAAAAGAAUGAGGUUUUCGGACUGGUGUUUGAAGAUAUCAAUUUUUUCAGCUUUAAUCGGAGCUUCCAUGGAGCUUUUCAUGGUCAAAUCUGGCUUCCAUGACAAAGUGACAGUUUUGGAGGCGGAGCAGAGGGCAUGGGAGAGUACACCUGAAGCUCAGGCUAUGCGAGAAGCUCUCAAUCCUUGGAGACAUGGUGGUGGGGGUGAAGAGUAGCAGCUAAAAAAAAUCCAUUUGUGCCUGUUCUGUAGUUUUAUUUCUGACUGCUCCUAAGUAGAUGAAUCUGAUGAUGGAUAUGGUAGACUGAAUUUUUUGGUCAAUCAACUUUUGCUGGUAAAUAAAAAUGUUGCAAAGUUAAAUUGUAGUUAUGCUAUUUUUCUUAUCA